UGGGGAAUAUUGCACAAUGGGCGCAAGCCUGAUGCAGCCAUGCCGCGUGUAUGAAGAAGGCCUUCGGGUUGUAAAGUACUUUCAGCGGGGAGGAAGGGAGUAAAGUUAAUACCUUUGCUCAUUGACGUUACCCGCAGAAGAAGCACCGGCUAACUCUGUGCCAGCAGCCGCGGUAAUACGGAGGGUGCAAGCGUUAAUCGGAAUUACUGGGCGUAAAGCGCACGCAGGCGGUUUGUUAAGUCAGAUGUGAAAUCCCCGGGCUCAACCUGGGAACUGCAUCUGAUACUGGCAAGCUUGAGUCUCGUAGAGGGGGGUAGAAUUCCAGGUGUAGCGGUGAAAUGCGUAGAGAUCUGGAGGAAUACCGGUGGCGAAGGCGGCCCCCUGGACGAAGACUGACGCUCAGGUGCGAAAGCGUGGGGAGCAAACAGG
rnacentral:rRNA from 1 species